rnacentral:lncRNA from 1 species
UUUUAUUGAUAUGAAAGUUGUGUUUAUAACUUAAAGAUUGAAGCUUUUAUAUAGACUUCAUUUUUCUAAUAUGAAUAAAAGUAAGACUACAUAUUCAUACUUGAGCACUUAAACUUAAUUAAACUACAAAAAUUAAACAAAAUAAUAAAAUAAUUAAGUCCUAAUUUUAGUAGGAUAAUUAAAGGCAAUAAAAUAAUUAAACUUAAAAAUCUUCCUCUUAUAGCCAAAUUUGGUCUCUUCCUCGAGUUAGGCCUCUUUAUUGUAUUUGAUUUCUAAUUCUUCAUUCUUUAAUACUUUCUUGAGAGGAAUUUGAAUAGAACUUUACUGGACAUUUGUAAGACUUUAAGUAAGAAUUGACAAGAGGUCUUCGACAUGGAGAAGGUCUCCUUGGCUGAUUGGCAUUUAUCCUUGGACUUCUCUUUUAAGCUGAAUUCUUUUUCCUUCCUCUUGAAUAAUUGUUUCUUGGUGAACAUCUACUUCUUUCAACUUGUAGUCUUUUAUAGAAAAUAGGACUUCUACUUGAUUUUGGAUUUGUAAUGGAGGUAGGAAAAUUGUUUCUUUCUUUGCAUAGGACUCUCCUUGUAAUCCUCCUUUUUCACAGUUUCUUAGUCAUUCUUCACCAAAAAUCUUUUUAGUCGUUGGCUUUUUGUCUCAGACUGCUACCUCCUCCUUCCCGUUAGCCACAGAGAGUGUUUCCUCCUCAUCCAAGUCAGAUUCAUCAAGGAUAAAUCUCUUUGAGCGGCUGGGUCUCUUCUUACUUGUCUCCUCUUAUCCAUGGUGGCUUUGGCUUAGGAUCAGGCUUGGUCUUGCCUUAAUCUUCUUCUUAUGCCAAUGCUGCAUUUCUUAUAGAUCUUUUAAAAUUGGGGUUGGGCUUGCACACUAUGUCUUCUCUCGGUUUAGGCUUGGUAAGCUUUUCUUAGACUACAUCUUCC